rnacentral:lncRNA from 1 species
CCCGGCCCCCGCUGCCCCGACCGGCCGCACCGGCCCCGGGCCCGUCCGGGAGAGGCGCCGGGGGUCUCCCGCUCCCGCCCGCAGCCCGCAGCCAGCCCGCUGUCCCCGGGGUCCCUGCCCUUCCACCUGCCGGCCUCUGCCGUCCCCCGGCUUGCUCUCUUGCCUUUUACUUUUUUCUUUCUUAUUUUUUUCCUUCUUAUUUUUUUUCUUUCUUUCUACUUUUUAUUUCUGUUCUUUCUGUCUUUCUUUCCUGUCUUUCCGUCCUUUUUUUUUUCCUUUCUUUUCUGUCUUGUCUUCCCCUCUCUCUUUCUUUCCUUUUCUUUUUUGCUCUCCCACUUUCCUUCUCUCUUUCCUUCUCCCUUUCACGCUAUCUUUUCCUUCUUGUCUUUCUUUCUGUCUUAUAUUUCUUUUUUUUUCUUUCUUGCUUGCUUUUCCUUUUCUGUCUCAAUUUUCCUGUCACUUUCUUCGGCUAUAUCUCUCUCUUUCUUCUCUUUUUUUUUAAUAUUCUUUUUAUUUCUUUCUGUGUUUUUCUUCUGCCUCUCCCUUUCUCCUUCUCUUUCUUUCCCUUUCUUUUCCCUUCCCCUCCCGUUGCUCCUGUGCCCCAGCCCCACCACGGGACUGAGGGAAGGAGCACAGCCUCAUCACGGGCACUGCGGUCCUCAGGAGGGGAUGAAUGCUUCAAGCUUGAGGCAGGGAAAGUGUCCAGGGCCCCCCGGUAUCUCCUUGUCUGUCCUCCCCAUUUCACAAGGCAGGAGGGUCUCCCCAAUGUCCCCCCUGCCAUGUCCCAUAGAGGGGGAGCUGCAGGGUGCUGGCAUGGGACUCUGACUCCUUUCUCUGUCGGCAGGGAGCGAGGUGUCCCAGGAGAGCCUUCUCCUCCACGGCCCCUUCGCCCGGAAACCCAAGCGCAUCCGCACGGCCUUCUCGCCCUCGCAGCUCCUGCGGCUGGAGCGGGCCUUCGAGAAGAACCACUACGUGGUGGGAGCCGAGCGCAAGCAGCUGGCCAGCAGCCUCAGCCUCUCCGAGACCCAGGUGAAAGUGUGGUUCCAGAACAGGAGGACGAAAUACAAACGGCAGAAGUUGGAGGAGGAAGGACCCGACUCGGACCAGAAGAAGAAAGGUUCCCACCACAUCAACCGAUGGCGGCUGGCCACCAAGCAGUCGAGCGGAGAAGACAUCGAUGUCACCUCCAACGACUAAGGCAGGGACAGGCUCCUGGUGCAGCCACCAUGGAGAGGAACCCGGGGGAGGAAGGGGGGGCACAGGCGGCAUCACCAAACGAACUCUAGGGACAUCGCCGAAGCCACCGCCGCCGCCGCCGCCCGCUGCCUUCCCUCCAGGGCGCCCGGCCUGACCGGGGACCUGCACCCCGUUCCCCCCCGUCGCCCGGGGCAUCCCUCGGAGGUGCUUUUCGGGAAGCUCCCGCCGCCGAGCCGAGGAGGAAGAGGAGGCUGCCAGGGCGCCUGCAGCCCCGGGACGCGACCGCGCAUCCUCCUCCGCGCUGGAAGCCGUCGUCAGCCAUGAGAUCAAAUAAAAACGUCCUACCUAGAAGCUCA